UACGUAGGUGGCAAGCGUUGUCCGGAUUUACUGGGCGUAAAGAGCACGCAGGCGGUCUUGUAAGUCGAAUGUGAAAGCCCCUGGCUCAACUGGGGAGGGUCAUUCGAUACUGCUCGACUCGAAGGCAGGAGAGGGAAGCGGAAUUCCCGGUGUAGUGGUGAAAUGCGUAGAUAUCGGGGAGGAACACCAGUGGCGGAAGGCGGCUUUCUGGCCUGUUCUUGACGCUGAGGCGCGAAAGCUAGGGGAGCAAACGGGG
rnacentral:rRNA from 1 species